rnacentral:rRNA from 1 species
UACGUAGGGGGCAAGCGUUGUCCGGAUUUAUUGGGCGUAAAGAGCGUGUAGGCGGUUUGGUAGGUCCGCUGUGAAAACUCGAGGCUCAACCUCGAGACGCCGGUGGAAACCAUCAGACUAGAGUCCGGAAGAGGAGAGUGGAAUUCCUGGUGUAGAGGUGAAAUUCGUAGAUAUUCGGAAGAACACCAGUGGCGAAGGCGACUUACUGGACACAUAUUGACGCUGAGGUGCGAAAGCGUGGGGAGCAAACAGG